rnacentral:rRNA from 1 species
GAUGAACGCUAGCUACAGGCUUAACACAUGCAAGUCGAGGGGAAACGAUAUUGGAAGCUUGCUUCCGAUAGGCGUCGACCGGCGCGCGGGUGAGUAACGCGUAUCCAACCUGCCCAUCACUUGGGAAUAACCUUGCGAAAGUAAGACUAAUGCCCAAUGACAUUUAUGGAAGGCAUCCGAAAUGAAUUAAAGAUUUAUCGGUGAUGGAUGGGGAUGCGUCUGAUUAGCUUGUUGGCGGGGUAACGGCCCACCAAGGCGACGAUCAGUAGGGGUUCUGAGAGGAAGGUCCCCCACAUUGGAACUGAGACACGGUCCAAACUCCUACGGGAGGCAGCAGUGAGGAAUAUUGGUCAAUGGGCGAGAGCCUGAACCAGCCAAGUAGCGUGCAGGAUGACGGCCCUAUGGGUUGUAAACUGCUUUUAUAAGGGAAUAAAGUGAGUCACGUGUGACUUUUUGCAUGUACCUUAUGAAUAAGGACCGGCUAAUUCCGUGCCAGCCGCCGCUGUAAAAC